CAGCCGCCGCGGUAAUACGGAGGGUGCAAGCGUUAAUCGGAAUUACUGGGCGUAAAGCGCACGCAGGCGGUCUGACAAGUCAGAUGUGAAAUCCCCGGGCUUAACCUGGGAACUGCAUUUGAAACUGUCAGGCUGGAGUCUUGUAGAGGGGGGUAGAAUUCCAGGUGUAGCGGUGAAAUGCGUAGAGAUCUGGAGGAAUACCGGUGGCGAAGGCGGCCCCCUGGACAAAGACUGACGCUCAGGUGCGAAAGCGUGGGGAGCAAACAGGAUUAGAGACCCCAGUAGUCCCUGUCUCUUAUAC
rnacentral:rRNA from 1 species